rnacentral:rRNA from 1 species
AUGGUUACCGCAAGCGCUCUGGCCACCAUGGCAAUCUUCCUGCUGGUGGCCCUCUCCACCUCCCAUAUCGUGUCCUCACUCCGCUCGGGUGUCGGUGUCUGCCGUGCAAAUGGCUAUCUUCCAGGAAAGUCGGGCAACUGUGAGAAGAGCAAAAACCCGGACUGUUGUGAGGAUGGCAAGAGAUACCCGCAGUACCACUGCUCACCCCCGGUCACCGUGGCCACCAAGGCCAUCCUGAUGCUGAACAGCUUCGAGAAGGGCAAAGAUGGUGGCGGCCCAUCGGAGUGUGACAAUGCCUACCAGAGCGAUGAGGAGAUGGUCGUCAUGCUAUCCACCGGCUGGUUCAAGAGCAUGGCCCGUCGCGGGCACCGUAUCAAGAUCACCGCCAAUGGCAACUCCGUGUACUCCAAGGUGGUGGACGAAUGCGGCUCCGUGUAUGGCUGUAACGACUAUCACAAUUACGAGCCACCAUGUGCCAACAACAUAGUCAACGCCUCUCUAGGAGUGUGGAACGUGUUGGGGCUCGACCAGAACGUCAGCAUGGAGGGCAUCACCUGGUCUGACGAGUGA